GACGAACGCUGGCGGCGUGCUUAACACAUGCAAGUCGAACGGAAAGGCCCUGCUUUUGUGGGGUGCUCGAGUGGCGAACGGGUGAGUAACACGUGAGUAACCUGCCCUUGACUUUGGGAUAACUUCAGGAAACUGGGGCUAAUACCGGGUAGGAGCUCCUGCUGCAUGGUGGGGGUUGGAAAGUUUCGGCGGUUGGGGAUGGACUCGCGGCUUAUCAGCUUGUUGGUGGGGUAGUGGCUUACCAAGGCUUUGACGGGUAGCCGGCCUGAGAGGGUGACCGGCCACAUUGGGACUUGGAUACGGCCCAGACUCCUACGGGAGGCAGCAGUGGGGAAUAUUGCACAAUGGGCGGAAGCCUGAUGCAGCAACGCCGCGUGCGGGAUGACGGCCUUCGGGUUGUAAACCGCUUUCGCCUGUGACGAAGCGUGAGUGACGGUAAUGGGUAAAGAAGCACCGGCUAACUACGUG
rnacentral:rRNA from 1 species